GGCUUAACUCCGUGCCAGCAGCCGCGGUAAUACGGAGGGGUGCGAGCGUUUAAUCGGAAUUACUGGGGCGUAAAGCGCAUGCAGGCGGCCUGUUAAGUCAGAUGUGAAAGCCCGGGGCUUAACCUCGGAAUUGCAUUUGAAACUGGCAGGCUAGAGUCUUGUAGAGGGGGGUAGGAAUUUCAGGUGUAGCGGUGAAAUGCGUAGAGAUCUGAAGGAAUACCAGUGGCGAAGGCGGCCCCCUGGACAAAGACUGACGCUCAGAUGCGAAAGCGUGGGGAGCAAACAGGAUUAGAUACCCUGGUAG
rnacentral:rRNA from 1 species